rnacentral:rRNA from 1 species
GAUGAACGCUGGCGGCGUGCUUAACACAUGCAAGUCGAACGGAAAGGCCCAAGAUUUCUUGGGUACUCGAGUGGCGAACGGGUGAGUAACACGUGGGUGAUCUGCCCUGCACUUCGGGAUAAGCCUGGGAAACUGGGUCUAAUACCGGAUAGGACCACCUUUUGGAUGGUGUGGUGGAAAGUUUUUCGGGGUGGGAUGAGCUCGCGGCCUAUCAGCUUGUUGGUGGGGUAAUGGCCUACCAAGGCGUCGGCGGGUAGCCGGCCUGAGAGGGUGUACGGCGACAUUGGGACAGAGAGACGGCCCAGACGCCGAAGGGAGGCAGAAGGGGGGAAGAUUGAACAAGGGGCGCAGGGCGGGUGCAGCGAGGCCGCGGGGGGGAUGACGGCCUUCGGGUGGUAAAAACCUUUCGCUAGGGACGAAGCGUUAUGUGACGGUACCUGGAGAAGAAGCACCGGCUAACUACGUG